rnacentral:rRNA from 1 species
AGAGUUUGAUCCUGGCUCAGGAUGAACGCUAGCUACAGGCUUAACACAUGCAAGUCGAGGGGCAGCAUGAACUUAGCUUGCUAAGUUUGAUGGCGACCGGCGCACGGGUGAGUAACACGUAUCCAACCUGCCGAUGACUCGGGGAUAGCCUUUCGAAAGAAAGAUUAAUACCCGAUGGCAUAGUUCUUCCGCAUGGUAGAACUAUUAAAGAAUUUCGGUCAUCGAUGGGGAUGCGUUCCAUUAGGUUGUUGGCGGGGUAACGGCCCACCAAGCCUUCGAUGGAUAGGGGUUCUGAGAGGAAGGUCCCCCACAUUGGAACUGAGACACGGUCCAAACUCCUACGGGAGGCAGCAGUGAGGAAUAUUGGUCAAUGGGCGAGAGCCUGAACCAGCCAAGUAGCGUGAAGGAUGACUGCCCUAUGGGUUGUAAACUUCUUUUAUAUGGGAAUAAAGUUUUCCACGUGUGGAAUUUUGUAUGUACCAUAUGAAUAAGGAUCGGCUAACUCCGUGCCAGCAGCCGCGGUAAUACGGAGGAUCCGAGCGUUAUCCGGAUUUAUUGGGUUUAAAGGGAGCGUAGAUGGAUGUUUAAGUCAGUUGUGAAAGUUUGCGGCUCAACCGUAAAAUUGCAGUUGAUACUGGAUAUCUUGAGUGCAGUUGAGGCAGGCGGAAUUCGUGGUGUAGCGGUGAAAUGCUUAGAUAUCACGAAGAACUCCGAUUGCGAAGGCAGCUUGCUGGACUGUAACUGACGCUGAUGCUCGAAAGUGUGGGUAUCAAACAGGAUUAGAUACCCUGGUAGUCCACACAGUAAACGAUGAAUACUCGCUGUUUGCGAUAUACAGUAAGCGGCCAAGCGAAAGCGUUAAGUAUUCCACCUGGGGAGUACGCCGGCAACGGUGAAACUCAAAGGAAUUGACGGGGGCCCGCACAAGCGGAGGAACAUGUGGUUUAAUUCGAUGAUACGCGAGGAACCUUACCCGGGCUUAAAUUGCAACAGAAUAUAUUGGAAACAGUAUAGCCGUAAGGCUGUUGUGAAGGUGCUGCAUGGUUGUCGUCAGCUCGUGCCGUGAGGUGUCGGCUUAAGUGCCAUAACGAGCGCAACCCUUAUCUUUAGUUACUAACAGGUCAUGCUGAGGACUCUAGAGAGACUGCCGUCGUAAGAUGUGAGGAAGGUGGGGAUGACGUCAAAUCAGCACGGCCCUUACGUCCGGGGCUACACACGUGUUACAAUGGGGGGUACAGAAGGCGGCUACCUGGUGACAGGAUGCUAAUCCCAAAAACCUCUCUCAGUUCGGAUCGAAGUCUGCAACCCGACUUCGUGAAGCUGGAUUCGCUAGUAAUCGCGCAUCAGCCAUGGCGCGGUGAAUACGUUCCCGGGCCUUGUACACACCGCCCGUCAAGCCAUGAAAGCCGGGGGUACCUGAAGUACGUAACCGCAAGGAGCGUCCUAGGGUAAAACUGGUAAUUGGGGCUAAGUCGUAACAAGGUAGCCGUACCGGAAGGUGCGGCUG